rnacentral:rRNA from 1 species
GACGAACGCUGGCGGCGUGCUUAACACAUGCAAGUCGAACAGAAAGGCCUGCUUUCCCUUGUGGAUUGCGGGUACUCGAGUGGCGAACGGGUGAGUAACACGUGAGUGAUCUGCCCCCAACUUGGGUAUAAGCCUGGGAAACUGGGUCUAAUUCCCGAUAGGACUGCAGGGUGGUGCCUGUGGUGGAAAACGAUUUUCUAGUGGUUGGGGAUGAGCUCGCGGCCUAUCAGCUUGUUGGUGGGGUAAUGGCCUACCAAGGCGGCGACGGGUAGCCGGCCUGAGAGGGUGGACGGCCACAUUGGGACUGAGAUACGGCCCAGACUCCUACGGGAGGCAGCAGUGGGGAAUAUUGCACAAUGGGCGGAAGCCUGAUGCGGCGACGCCGCGUGGGGGAUGACGGCCUUCGGGUUGUAAACUCCUUUCGACCGCGAGGAAGCCACCUGGUUGGAAGGGUGGUGACGGUAGUGGUAGAAGAAGCACCGGCUAACUACGUG